GGGCCUGUGGUCUAGCGGCUAUGACAUCACCCUUACAAGGUGGAGGUCGCCAGUUCGAAUCUGGCCAGGCCCACCA
rnacentral:tRNA from 1 species